rnacentral:rRNA from 1 species
GCCCUGCCCAAACAAACUGAGAACAGAGGCAAUGCUUGGGCCCAAAUUCGAAUGCGAUACGUUCAGAAAAAGAAAAAGAAAAACUCGAAUACGAUAGGGAUGGGUUGAAUCUUGGAUAUUAAGAUGAGGUCUGAGGAUAAGAUGAGUAGGAAUUGUCAAGUGGUUCAAGGCUUGAGGCAUCCGGAAUUUGAGACCAAAGCAGUCUUGUUUCUCUGCAGCAGCCGACGCUGCUGAUGCCCGAGCCCCACCAAAUCCACCAACCCCCGCCCCCGCCCCCGCCUCCAACCGAUCCAAACCCCGUUGCCUCCACGGCUGCAAAUGCCCGGCGCAAUCCGGUACCAUUUCUUCCCAUUCUCCGUGCGGAAGGAACGAGACAAGUUCUUCCUCUGAUUUCUUGCUUGUCUUCUUCCUUGUUGUUGAGGCCCCGCUGCCGCUGCCGCUGCCGGAGAUCCCGGUGCCGCCGGUGCAGCCGAAGAUGAUCAUAAAGGGGAUGCUGGGCCGGUAUGAGCGGUGGAACCCCGUGCACCCGACGGCGGGCGCCUUCUGGGGCGUCGGGCUGGGGUUCGGCUGCGGCGUCGGGUGGGGCCCAGGGUUUGGGCCGGAGGUCAUCGGCUACGUCGGCGCCGGAUGCGGCGUUGGCUUCAGCGUCGGCAUCACGCUCGCCGGUGUCGGCGUCGGGCUGCCACAGCACGGCAUCAUCAAGAACCACUACCACGGCGGCGGUUUUGCAAGCAAUGUCCCAUUCGAAUCAGCAAGGUUUUACCUCUUGACCAUGCUAAAAGGUAUGGUAUGGGAUGCCAUCAGUUAUGCGAGCAACGUCACAGCUAUGAGGAAAGAAUCUCGACAGAAGCUUUUAAGAUGUCAGGAGAACCCUCAAGUUUCAGGAGGAGUUGAUCUGCCCAAGCUGGGGAAAGGAAUGUCCAGCAGCUUCCGAUCAACGAUGGAGUGUAUCAAGGCCUUCACAAAUCAGAAUUGGCCUCCAUAGCAGCACCCAAGUAAACUGAAGAUUGAUAAACCGAGCUUUGUGUGCAAACCACCCACCCGGGAUCAAAGCCUGGGUAGUGGUACCCCUUUCACUGGGUGACAAUGGGGUAGUCGGAUGCAGGUGGCUCGUAUGGCGUCCACCACAGGGUUGACGUCCCUUCUAAAGGAAAAUUAAGGACUUGUACUUUAUGAAUAAGAACCCCCAUGGCACACAUAGAUACAUUAUACUCCCUCCAUUUCAUAAUGUAGUGUGUUCAUGCUUUUCGAGAUUUAACUUUGACCAUAAAUUUAACCAACAUGGGCAACUAGAGUGGGAGCAUGACAGAUACCUUUGAGUUCGUAUUCGAAAGAAGUUUUCAAAGAAAUAAUUUUUCAGUAAAAUGAUUUAUGUAUUAUUGGUCCGCAUGAUUUAUGUAUUAUUGGUCUAAUUUAUGGUCAGCGUAGAAGCACUAUAUUAUGAAAUGGAGUACAUAUUUCUUCAUCAUAUGUUUUUGGCAUGCGCAAGUUUAAAAUUUUACGGUUAUAAGGGGAAACAAUUCCAACUGAAGAACAUGCUAGCCUGUAAUCUAGCUAUUGAUUUUUGUUGAAUAAUCAUCCAAUCGAUGUGUAACAAUAACAAUGUUGUCAAUCCAUGCACUUCGCAGAAUCUUGUAUUGUGAAAUGAAACUCCAUUCAAAUUGUACUUUGAUCAGUGCCUCGGCGCUUGACUUAAUUUCAUGAUCUUUCGCCUGUGGUGUCGCUUGUUGUAUUUUCAUCACGUAAACUGUAUCACUAUCUUUUUUGUAUUCUCAUCAUGUAUCUGUUGUAUUUUCAUCACGUAAACUGUAUCACUAUCUUUUUUGUAUUCUCAUCAUGUAUCUGUUGUAUUUUCA